rnacentral:rRNA from 1 species
AGUGAACGCUGGCGGUAGGCCUAACACAUGCAAGUCGAACGGCAGCACAGUAAGAGCUUGCUCUUACGGGUGGCGAGUGGUGGACGGGUGAGGAAUACAUCGGAAUCUACUUUUUCGUGGGGGCUAACGUAGGGAAACUUACGCUAAUACCGCAUACGACCUACGGGUGAAAGCAGGGGAUCUUCGGACCUUGCGCGAUUGAAUGAGCCGAUGUCGGAUUAGCUAGUUGGCGGGGUAAAGGCCCACCAAGGCGACGAUCCGUAGCUGGUCUGAGAGGAUGAUCAGCCACACUGGAACUGAGACACGGUCCAGACUCCUACAGGAGGAAGCAGUGGGGAAUAUUGGACAAUGGGCGCAAGCCUGAUCCAGCCAUACGGCGUGGGUGAAGAAGGCCUUCGGGUUGUAAAGCCCUUUUGGUGGGAAAGAAGAGCAGCAGGUUAAUACCCCGCUGUUCUGACGGUACCCAAAGAAUAAGCACCGGCUAACUUCGUG